rnacentral:rRNA from 1 species
UGGGGAAUAUUGCACAAUGGGCGCAAGCCUGAUGCAGCCAUGCCGCGUGUAUGAAGAAGGCCUUCGGGUUGUAAAGUACUUUCAGCGGGGAGGAAGGGAGUAAAGUUAAUACCUUUGCUCAGUGACGUUACCCGCAGAAGAAGCACCGGCUAACUCCGUGCCAGCAGCCGCGGUAAUACGGAGGGUGCAAGCGUUAAUCGGAAUUACUGGGCGUAAAGCGCACGCAGGCGGUUGAUUGAGUCAGAUGUGAAAUCCCCGGGCUUAACCCGGGAAUUGCAUCUGAUACUGGUCAGCUAGAGUCUUGUAGAGGGGGGUAGAAUUCCAUGUGUAGCGGUGAAAUGCGUAGAGAUGUGGAGGAAUACCGGUGGCGAAGGCGGCCCCCUGGACAAAGACUGACGCUCAGGUGCGAAAGCGUGGGGAGCAAACAGG